AGUGAACGCUGGCGGUAGGCCUAACACAUGCAAGUCGAACGGCAGCACAGUAAGAGCUUGCUCUUACGGGUGGCGAGUGGCGGACGGGUGAGGAAUACAUCGGAAUCUACUUUUUCGUGGGGGAUAACGUAGGGAAACUUACGCUAAUACCGCAUACGACCUACGGGUGAAAGCAGGGGAUCUUCGGACCUUGCGCGAUUGGAUGAGCCGAUGUCGGAUUAGCUAGUUGGCGGGGUAAAAGCCCACCAAGGCGACGAUCCGUAGCUGGUCUGAGAGGAUGAUCAGCCACACUGGAACUGAGACACGGUCCAGACUCCGACGGGAGGCAGAAGUGGGGAAUAUUGGACAAUGGGCGCAAGCCUGCUCCAGCCAUACCGCGUGGGUGAAGCAGGCCUGCGGGUUGUAAAGCCGUUUUGUUGGGAAAGAAAAGCAGCAGGUUAAUACCCCGCUGUUCUGACGGGACCCAAAGAAUAAGCACCGGCGAACUUCGU
rnacentral:rRNA from 1 species